AGAGUUUGAUCAUGGCUCAGGAUGAACGCUAGCUACAGGCUUAACACAUGCAAGUCGAGGGGAAACGAUAUUGGAAGCUUGCUUCCGAUAGGCGUCGACCGGCGCACGGGUGAGUAACGCGUAUCCAACCUGCCCACCACUUGGGGAUAACCUUGCGAAAGUAAGACUAAUACCCAAUGACGUCUCUAGAAGACAUCUGAAGGAGAUUAAAGAUUUAUCGGUGAUGGAUGGGGAUGCGUCUGAUUAGCUUGUUGGCGGGGUAACGGCCCACCAAGGCAACGAUCAGUAGGGGUUCUGAGAGGAAGGUCCCCCACAUUGGAACUGAGACACGGUCCAAACUCCUACGGGAGGCAGCAGUGAGGAAUAUUGGUCAAUGGGCGAGAGCCUGAACCAGCCAAGUAGCGUGCAGGAAGACGGCCCUAUGGGUUGUAAACUGCUUUUAUAAGGGAAUAAAGUGAGUCUCGUGAGACUUUUUGCAUGUACCUUAUGAAUAAGGACCGGCUAAUUCCGUGCCAGCAGCCGCGGUAAUACGGAAGGUCCGGGCGUUAUCCGGAUUUAUUGGGUUUAAAGGGAGCGUAGGCCGGAGAUUAAGCGUGUUGUGAAAUGUAGACGCUCAACGUCUGCACUGCAGCGCGAACUGGUUUCCUUGAGUACGCACAAAGUGGGCGGAAUUCGUGGUGUAGCGGUGAAAUGCUUAGAUAUCACGAAGAACUCCGAUUGCGAAGGCAGCUCAUUGGAGCGCAACUGACGCUGAAGCUCGAAAGUGCGGGUAUCGAACAGGAUUAGAUACCCUGGUAGUCCGCACGGUAAACGAUGGAUGCCCGCUGUUGGUCUGAACAGGUCAGCGGCCAAGCGAAAGCAUUAAGCAUCCCACCUGGGGAGUACGCCGGCAACGGUGAAACUCAAAGGAAUUGACGGGGGCCCGCACAAGCAGUGGAGUAUGUGGUUUAAUUCGACGCAACGCGAAGAACCUUACCAAGUCUUGACAUCCGUUGACCACUGUAGAAAUACAGUUUUCCUUCGGGACAGCGAGACAGGUGGUGCAUGGUUGUCGUCAGCUCGUGUCGUGAGAUGUUGGGUUAAGUCCCGCAACGAGCGCAACCCUUAUGGUCAGUUACUACGCAAGAGGACUCUGGCCAGACUGCCGUUGACAAAACGGAGGAAGGUGGGGAUGACGUCAAAUCAUCAUGCCCUUUAUGACUUGGGCUACACACGUACUACAAUGGCGUUAAACAAAGAGAAGCAAGACCGCGAGGUGGAGAAAAACUCAGAAACAACGUCCCAGUUCGGACUGCAGGCUGCAACUCGCCUGCACGAAGUCGGAAUUGCUAGUAAUCGUGGAUCAGCAUGCCACGGUGAAUACGUUCCCGGGCCUUGUACACACCGCCCGUCACACCAUGAGAGCCGGGGGGACCCGAAGUCGGUAGUCUAACCGCAAGGAGGACGCCGCCGAAGGUAAAACUGGUGAUUGGGGUGAAGUCGUAACAAGGUA
rnacentral:rRNA from 1 species